GCAAGUGCAUCACUUUGCUCGUCACGGUCUGUGCAAUCACAUGCCCGGCAAACUGAAGUUCUACAAAGCUCUGCAGAAUCACUUCCACCGCAUAUCAGAUCAUAUGAAGAUCAACUAUUAUAUGGAUAUAUGUGCUCGCAAGGAUGAAAUGCUUGACCAUUGGGUAAAAGAAAUCUUCGACAGAGAUGGAGAUGGCUACAUCUCACACUUCGAGAAAGAGUUGUAUGACCACAACUGAGACCGAUGCCAGACUGUCAACGUUUAUCAGGAAUUACUGUCCUGAGAAUACAUAUGGGAAUAUUGCAUAAACGAAAACAUUAAUACAAAAGCCACUUUCUACUUGAUAUAUUGGCAAGAAUAAAUGCGUGGUCUGGGAGAAGACACUGAUUAUUGAUGACAUAUAUCAAGUUGGUGCAGAAACGUGGACCUUCACAAUUAUUGUGGAACAACCACAACGCUUCAAACUGUUUUUAUACAGGCGCUGCACUCUCUAUGAUUAUGCUUUUUUGAAAACGAGACGUCAUUAAAUUAAUGACGAUCUGUUUAUCAUUAUGAUUUUGAGGCUGCUGCUGCUGAUUAUUAAGAUACUACUACUACUUAUACUAAUACAAAUAUUGAUAACAAAAAUAAUACCAGGUAAUAUGUUUUUUUUAUUUUUGAAUUCAAAGUAACCUGAUAAUUGAACUGAAAUUGAUACAUGGUAUUGAAAUUGAAAUGGUUGUGGCAAUAAAUAUGCAGUUAUUGAGUUAUACUUGUAUAAUGGACACAUACUAAUUGGCUUUAACGUGUAUAUCAUGAACACGCUUGCAUUCUGUGAAGAAAAACACACAACGACUUUGUAUUAUAAAACAUGCUGUUUUACCAGAAUAAAGGUGAUAACUUGACGUUAAAUAUUGAGUUUUUUUAUAUAUCAUUCAAAGUGUAUGAGAUAUAUUUUUGA